rnacentral:rRNA from 1 species
UAAGGAAUAUUGGUCAAUGGACGAAAGUCUGAACCAGCCAUGCCGCGUGAAGGAUGAAGGCCCUCUGGGUUGUAAACUUCUUUUAUAGGGGACGAAAAAAGGGCAUUCUUGCUCACUUGACGGUACCCUAGGAAUAAGCACCGGCUAACUCCGUGCCAGCAGCCGCGGUAAUACGGAGGGUGCAAGCGUUAUCCGGAUUUACUGGGUUUAAAGGGUGCGUAGGUGGGUCUGUAAGUCAGUGGUGAAAUCUCCGGGCUUAACCCGGAAAUUGCCAUUGAUACUAUAGGUCUUGAAUCAUCUGGAGGUAAGCGGAAUAUGUCAUGUAGCGGUGAAAUGCUUAGAUAUGACAUAGAACACCAAUUGCGAAGGCAGCUUACUACGGAUGUAUUGACACUGAGGCACGAAAGCGUGGGGAUCAAACAGGAUUAGAUACCCCCGUAGUCC